rnacentral:rRNA from 2 species
UUUGCCUUUUGUGAUACGCUUUCAAAGAGUCAGGUUGUUUGGGAAUGCAGCCUAAAUUGGGUGGUAAAUCUCACCUAAAGCUAAAUAUUGGCGAGAAACCGAUAGCGAACAAGUACCGUGAGGGAAAGAUGAAAAGAACUUUGAAAAGAGAGUUAAACAGUAUGUGAAAUUGUUAAAAGGGAACCGUUUGGAGCCAGACUGGCUUGUCUGUAAUCAAUCUAGGCUUCGGCCUGGAUGCACUUGCAGGCUAUGCCUGCCAACGACAAUUUGACUUGAGGGAAAAAACUAGGGGAAAUGUGGCCCACUUGUGGGUGUUAUAGUCCCUUAGAAAAUACCUUGGGUUGGAUUGAGGAACGCAGCGAAUGCUUAUUGGCGAGUUUUCCAGGAAGGUUUUCUGAGGUACUACGGUAUCAAGGUUGAUCUUUU